AUUGAACGCUGGCGGCAGGCCUAACACAUGCAAGUCGAACGAGUGGCGGACGGGUGAGUAAUGUCUGGGACACUGCCUGCUGGAGGGGGAUAACUACUGGAAACGGUAGCUAAUACCGCAUACCAUCAGAUGUGCCCAGAUGGGAUUAACUUGUUGGGGGGGUAACGGCUCACCAAGGCGACGAUCCCUAGCUGGUCUGAGAGGAUGACCAUGCACACUGAAACUGAGACAGGUUUCAGACGCCUACGUGGGGCAGCAGUGGGGAAUAUUGCACAAAGGGCGCAAUCCUGAUGCAUCUAUGCCGCGUGUAUGAAGAAGGCCUUCAGGUUGUAAAGUACUUUCAGCGGGGAGUCGUUACCCGCAGAAGAAGCACCGUCUAACUCCGUGCCAGCAGCCGCGGUAAGAC
rnacentral:rRNA from 1 species